UUUUGGUCCAUGACACGAGGCCUUAACGAUUUUGUUCUUUAAAAGAUGCCGUAUGAGAGAGAAGGUCCUAUUCCAUAUAAGUUACUCUUUUUUGACUUACGAUCAUUAUGGAACUAAAAAUACCGUCCUCCCGCAACAGCAUGCGUUAUUAGUUAUUACACGUUUUUGUUCACGGAAGUCCAAUACCUGUGAUGCACCUGCGCCUUGCUGCUCUCCCAGUGCUCUUUGUUCCUUCUUCGUUUUUAUGGGGAGCGCUUAAGAGAUGGUACCUCAGGCUCCAGGGAGCCCAGUGUGUUGGAUUCCCGUUUUAUCUUCCAUUUUUAAACUGCUCACAAGAAUCUCAUGGCCUCGUG
rnacentral:lncRNA from 1 species